AUUAAAGCGAUGAUGGGGAUGAGUAAACCGGGGUCGCCUUACAGAGAGCGGGGAAAGGUGGAAGCCCGCAGGAAAAGCCGGUUGAACAUGGCCCCGGAGUUGCCGGUUCGAAGGAUGUCAGUAGGGCCGGCCGGUGAAGCACCGUUAACUGCUGUGCCGUGCUGUUUAAGCACGCUGAGACUGCCGCCGCAAGGCGGUAGUGAAUCAGGGUGGUACCGCGGGUUAUCUGGCCUCGCCCCUGCC
rnacentral:ncRNA from 2 species